CUACGGGUUGCACCAGUGGGGAAUAUUGGACAAUGGAGGAAACUCUGAUCCAGCCAUGCCGCGUGAAUGAUGAAGGCCCUCGGGUUGUAAAAUUCUUUUGGUGGGGAAGAUGAUGACUGUACCCACAGAAUAAGCUCCGGCUAACUUCGUGCCAGCAGCCGCGGUAAUACGAAGGGAGCUAGCGUUGUUCGGAAUUACUGGGCGUAAAGGGUGCGUAGGCGGCUUGGUCAGUCAGAUGUGAAAGCCCCGGGCUCAACCUGGGAACUGCGUUUGAUACUGCUAAGCUAGAAUUCGGUAGAGGUGAGUGGAAUUUCCAGUGUAGAGGUGAAAUUCGUAGAUAUUGGAAAGAACACCAGUGGCGAAGGCGGCUCACUGGACCGACAUUGACGCUGAGGCACGAAAGCGUGGGGAGCAAACAGGAUUAGAUACCCUAGUAGUC
rnacentral:rRNA from 1 species